CCACCAGUACCACACACUGGUAGCAGUUAUAUACCAAGUAACCCACCAGUACCACACACUGGUACCAGUUAUAUACCAAGUAACCCACCAGUACCACACACUGGUACCAGUUAUAUACCAGGUAACUGACCAGUACCACACACUGGCAGCAGUUAUAUACCAAGUAACCCACCAGUACCACACACUAGUACCAGUUAUAUACCAAGUAACCCACCAGUACCACACACUGGUACCAGUUAUAUACCAGGUAACUGACCAGUACCACACACUGGCAGCAGUUAUAUACCAAGUAACCCACCAGUACCACACACUGGUACCAGUUAUAUACCAAGUAACCCACCAGUACCACACACUGGUACCAGUUAUAUACCAGGUAACCCACCAGUACCACACACUGGUACCAGUUAUAUACCAAGUAACCCACCAGUACCACACACUGGUACCAGUUAUAUACCAGGUAACCCACCAGUACCACACACUGGUAGCAGUUAUAUACCAAGUAACCCACCAGUACCACACACUAGUACCAGUUAUAUACCAAGUAACCCACCAGUACCACACACUGGUACCAGUAAUAUACCAG